rnacentral:tRNA from 1 species
GAGGGUAGAGCUCAGUGGUAGAGUGCGUGCUUAGCAUGCACGAGGUCCUGGGUUCAAUCCCCAUCACCUCCA